UCCUUCCAUCUUCUUCCUUCCCCCCACCGCAUUGCUCCUUCCUCCAGUCCAUAACCAGUGAAGUGAACACUUGAUAAGAAAAUUACCCAAUUCAAUACUCCACAUCAAUGGUCCAUCACUAUGAUUAACACCACCCAAAUCAUGAAAAAGGACAACAACAAAAACUAAAUAAAAUUAACAUAUUUAAGAUCUAACACCUAAUCGACAUUCAUACUUUCAUUGUAGCAAAUCAAACGAGCAAAGACAACUGGUUUGGAUCGAUCGAGAAGCAGAGCAAAGUGAAGACAACGGAAACACACACGUCACAACAACUCUGUUCAAUCUCUUCUCCAAUAACAACUGUAACAAGAAGUACUAUAACUCAUUCUCCUUACAACAUCUUGUUCCUUAUUAACAACAUGUCGAAACCAGCACAACCCAUUCUCCAUUAAAUUGAAGCUUAUAAUUUUACCUCUGGAUUUGUUGUGUUUCUUAACAAUUGUUGAGAAAGAUGAAUGUUUUGGGAUAAACAUGUCAGAAUUCACAAAAGAAUUAUAAUAGGUUUGUGGUGAAGAAAAGAUUAAUUAGUUUCAGAUCUCACGACAUAGAUGGAAGCACGAUAGAGAAGAAAUGAAGUUGUUUGAAAUUUAUUUUAUUUUAGAAAAACUCAUGUCACUGGUUGCAAAAAAAAAAA
rnacentral:lncRNA from 1 species